CCCUUUGUUUUUGUACAGGGGCACUACUGUACUCCACCUCCACUCAUCCGGCAUCCUUUUGGUCCUAAAGAUCGUAUUGAACAACCUGGAGAGCCACUCCGCUCUUAACCUACUCAUGCACUUCCAGAACUCCACCGGGAUCUUGUCAUGCCCGGUCGCUCGACCCCUACUCAUCCUACGCAAAGCCCCCAUGACCUCCUCCGCCCUAACGCGCCUACAGUACCCAAGGU
rnacentral:lncRNA from 1 species